GACGAACGCUGGCGGCGUGCCUAAUACAUGCAAGUAGAACGCACAGUUUAUACCGUAGCUUGCUACACCAUAGACUGUGAGUUGCGAACGGGUGAGUAACGCGUAGGUAACCUGCCUGGUAGCGGGGGAUAACUAUUGGAAACGAUAGCUAAUACCGCAUAAUAUUGAUUAUUGCAUGAUAAUUGAUUGAAGGAUGCUAUUGCAUCACUACCAGAUGGACCUGCGUUGUAUUAGCUAGUAGGUGAGGUAACGGCUCACCUAGGCGACGAUACAUAGCCGACCUGAGAGGGUGAUCGGCCACACUGGGACUGAGACACGGCCCAGACUCCUACGGGAGGCAGCAGUAGGGAAUCUUCGGCAAUGGACGAAAGUCUGACCGAGCAACGCCGCGUGAGUGAAGAAGGUUUUCGGAUCGUAAAGCUCGGUUGUAAGAGAAGAACGGGUGUGAGAGUGGAAAGUUCACACUGUGACGGUAUCUUACCAGAAAGGGACGGCUAACUACGUG
rnacentral:rRNA from 1 species